rnacentral:rRNA from 1 species
AACGAACGCUGGCGGCAGGCUUAACACAUGCAAGUCGAGCGCCUCGCAAGGGGAGCGGCAGACGGGUGAGUAACACGUGGGGAUCUGCCCGAUGGUACGGAAUAACUCAGGGAAACUUGUGCUAAUACCGUAUGUGCCCGCAAGGGGAAAGAUUUAUCGCCAUCGGAUGAACCCGCGUCGGAUUAGCUAGUUGGUGUGGUAAAGGCGCACCAAGGCGACGAUCCGUAGCUGGUCUGAGAGGAUGAUCAGCCACACUGGGACUGAGACACGGCCCAGACUCCUACGGGAGGCAGCAGUGGGGAAUAUUGGACAAUGGGCGCAAGCCUGAUCCAGCCAUGCCGCGUGAGUGAUGAAGGCCUUAGGGUUGUAAAGCUCUUUCGCCGACGAAGAUAAUGACGGUAGUCGGAGAAGAAGCCCCGGCUAACUUCGUGCCAGCCGCCGCAGUAA